rnacentral:rRNA from 1 species
GACAGAGGGUGCAAACGUUGUUCGGAAUUACUGGGCGUAAAGAGCUCGUAGGCGGUCUGUCGCGUCGGCUGUGAAAACCUGGGGCUUAACUCCGGGCCUGCAGCCGAUACGGGCAGACUAGAGUUCGGCAGGGGAGACUGGAAUUCCUGGUGUAGCGGUGAAAUGCGCAGAUAUCAGGAGGAACACCGGUGGCGAAGGCGGGUCUCUGGGCCGAAACUGACGCUGAGGAGCGAAAGCGUGGGGAGCAAACAGG